GCAUUAAUGGGGUAGUGGUAACCUGGGUCGUUGCCAUGUAUGAUCGCAGGCGUCUCAUCGACCCGCCGGGGGUUCGAUUCCCCCUUAAUGCA